rnacentral:rRNA from 1 species
CCUACGGGAGGCUGCAGUGGGGAAUAUUGCGCAAUGGGCGAAACCCUGAUGCAGCAACGCCGCGUGAGGGAAGAAGGAUUUCGGGAUGUAAAGCUCUAUCAGCAGGGACGAAAAUGACAGUACCUGACCAAGAAUCCCCGGCUAACUACGUGCCAGCAGCCGCGGUAAUACGUAGUGGGCAAGCGUUGUCCGGAUUUACUGGGUGUAAAGGGAGCGUAGACGGUGAGGUAAGUCUGGAGUGAAAGCUCGGGGCCCAACCCCGGGACUGCUUUUGAAACUGUGUAACUGGAGUGCAGGAGGGGCAGGCGGAAUUCCGGGUGUAGCGGUGAAAUGCGUAGAUAUCCGGAGGAACACCAGUGGCGAAGGCGGCCUGCUGGACUGAAACUGACGUUGAGGCGCGAAAGCGUGGGGAGCAAACAGGAUUAGAUACCCGGGUAGUC